rnacentral:tRNA from 1 species
GGGCAGGUAGCUCAGUUGGUACGAGCGAUCGCCUGAAAAGUGAUAGGUCGGCGGUUCGAUCCCGCCCCUGCCCACCG